GCUGUGUUGAUAUAAAUGUGUGCUACCCUCUUUUUGGUCUCCUUUGUCAUCUGAUUAGUCUUUAAAGAUGCAGCACUCUCUUUCCACCUCAUAAGGCCCUCAGUUCCUGAGAACUCAUCUUGAUCUCAUUCAGGAGAAAAGUAAAUCCCUCAAGAUCUUCCUUAUGAUGCUUACAGUCCAUGCUGCUCUUCCCAUGUGAAGAACUGACGUCAGUCAAAUUUGGCCCAAUCAAGAAAUCAAAGAAUAACAAAAGAAUUGCAAUGCAUUAAUAAAGACCUAGAUCCAUCCAGACUUUAAGAUCCUCUUCCAAAAGUCCAGUGGGAUACCUGAUUCAUCAUCCUGUCUUUCACCAGCCAAGGAAUGCAGAGCGUCCUGGUCAAGAGGCAAAGCUGGUCAGACAAGCUUCCGCCAAUACCUACACACAAUUUUAACCAACUGAGAACAUAAG
rnacentral:lncRNA from 1 species